UACGGGGGGGGCAAGCGUUGUUCAGAAUUACUGGGCGUAAAGGGCUCGUAGGCGGCCAACUAAGUCGGACGUGAAAUCCCCAGGCUCAACCUGGGAACUGCGUCCGAUACUGGAUGGCUUGAAUCCGGGAGAGGGAUGCAGAAUUCCAGGUGUAGCGGUGAAAUGCGUAGAUAUCUGGAGGAACACCGGUGGCGAAGGCGGCAUCCUGGACCGGCAUUGACGCUGAGGAGCGAAAGCCAGGGGAGCAAACGGG
rnacentral:rRNA from 1 species